rnacentral:tRNA from 1 species
UCUAAUAUGGCAGACUAGUGCUAUGAACUUAAACCUCAUCCAUAAAGAUUAACUCUUUUUUUAGAA